rnacentral:lncRNA from 1 species
GGUUUGGGGCAUUCUUCCUGUUUGGUGCCUUCACUUUCCUUCCUUUUCUCUCACCUUUAUUCUCUGCUCCUCAGAAAUCUCUUCCCCACAUUCUUUCUAGUCCUGCCUCUGUCUGGAAGUCACCCCAACACCUGCGCCUUCCCUCCUGAGCUUCACUUCGUCUGGUAUCUUACACACUUGUGAAUCUCAGUAACAGUUCUCUGAGCAUUUGUGACGUAAUCAAAGAUACAUUUAGAAACAAAUUAUGGUAAAAUAUUUAAUAAACUAUAACGAUGUGCUUCAUUCAGGGCUUAAAUGUUGCUCCAGGGCUACAAGUGUUCUGCUCAAAAAUAAAAAUAAAAACAUUCACUGCAGGUCAACUUGUGUCUUAUCGAUUGCUCAAGUGUGUUUGCUCAGCGUCCAAGUGUUGUCUCAUUAUGUGAGUUUGACAGAAUUGUGCUGUCUGUCCUUUUAUUCCCCUUGUCAGCUGCUUGCAGAGGCUAAGACUAACAUUCCCUCACUAUGGGUUCAGCGACAUUGCAGAAUACACUUGAGUUAUAAAUAGGGCUGGGGUGAGUCGUCAACAUAGUCAACACAAAAAACAUGCGUCGGCGCAUUGCAUGAUGACUUAGACAAUGGCUACUUCAGGUAAUGGUGGCAGCAUGGACAGCAAACAAGCUCCACCCAAUGGAGUCGAUUUAAAAUCUACUUUAGCAUGAUCUAUGAGCAGCUCCUCUCAAUCGAUAGAUGUGUUCUUCCUGGCUUCCCCGUUCACAUUUCCAAGAUCGUGCUGCUUUCAUUCAGGGAGACACGCAGUGACCUGUCAAUCAAAUAACCCACUGCUGGUGCAGCAAACACCAAAAUGGAUGCUGCAUCAUACGCCCUGCAUCCCAUAUCUAAUUCAUUCACUUUCAACAGUUAUCUCAGAGUUGAAGCAUCAGUUUUGUGUAUUCAUUUGUCCUAUAUCGGUGUAUCGGACAUGGUAGUAUGCAGCACGGGGGCUCCACAGGGGACAGUGCUCUCCCCCUUCCUCUUCACCCUGUACACCUCUGACUUCAGCUACAACUCUGGGAGCUGUCACCUCCAGAAGUUCUCUGAUGACACAGCCAUCGUCGGAUGUGUAUUGUCAGGGGAUGAGCGGGAAUACAGGACUGUCAUCACUGACUUUGUCAACUGGUGUGGCACAAACCACCUCCAGCUCAACGCCAGUAAGACAAAGGAGAUGGUUGUGGAUUUCCGCAGGAGGGGGACACCUCAAACAGUUCCAGUGAACAUACAGGGUCUGGACAUCGAGAUGGUGGAGUCCUACAGAUUCCUGGGUGUCCACCUCAACAACAAACUGGACUGGUCAACAAACACAGACGUUCUGUACAAGAAGUGCCAAAGUCGUCUCCACCUGCUGAGGAGACUGAGGUCCUUUGGAGUGUGCAGGACUCUGCUCAGGACUUUCUAUGACUCUGUGGUAGCAUCUGCACUUUUCUAUGCAGUGGUCUGCUGGGGGGCAGGGAGCACCGAGAGGGACAGGAAGAGACUGAAUAGACUGGUCAGGAGGGCCGGUUCUGUCCUGGACUGCUCUUUGGACUCCCUGGAGGAGGUGGGUGAGAGGAGGAUGUUAACAAAGCUUGUAUCCAUCAUGGACAAUCCCUCUCACCCACUGCACCAGACUGUGGGGGUUUUAGGCAGCUCCUUCAGCAGCAGACUGAGACUCCCACCCUGCAGGACGGAGCGCUACUGCAGAUCAUUUCUCCCCUCUGCAAUAAGACUUUACAAUGAACAGUAACAAAACUGAUUUUACACCACCACUUUUUUUAUGGCAUUUAAAUUGUGUAUAUUGUAGAAAGCUUUAUUUUUUCUUCUCCCUUUUCUAAUUUUUUUCUUAAUUAUUACAUUUAUUUAAGUUCUUAAUAUUAGGACCCUUAUUGUUAUAACUGCAUUUUUGCACUUUUUGUCUUGUCUGUGAUGCUGCUGUGACAAAAAAAUUUCCCCCAUGGGGGAUCAAUAAAGGAAUAUUCUAUUCUAUUCUAUUCUAUUCUAUAACUUGCUAAUUAAUCAGCUGUGUGAUCCCUGACGAUAGCUCACUAAUGCUAAUACUCUGCGCACGUGAGCUCCACUGCACAUAUGAAUACUGAUACACACGAGUCCGAGGCAGAGCCACAUAAGAAAAAAAACCUUUUUAGAGUGUGGCGGCUUUUAUUUAACCGUGGCAGUGCGCCACGAUUGAUUGCAUAGAGGGGACACACUGUUAUCUAGCGCUGUAUCUUCCUCAGCAAUGUAAACAAACGUGUUGCCAGGAGUAUGCCGACUGCGGCCCACAAUGCAUUGCGACAUAUUGUGCCUUUUUGGUUGGCUGUGUGGCACCGACAUUCACACUAUUAAAUAAAAGACGGUAUGAAUGUUAUCUAUUGUUACUUGACAGUCGUUGUAACUAUGAGUAAGGUGUGCAUGCACCUGUUAAGGGAGGCUGUUAGCAACGAUGACCUAUCAGGCUGGCGCACUCACAGGCUGUUUACCAGAAAAUGGUAUACUGCGGUUCACAGUAUGUUGCCCAGCACUAAGUGCAAGCUUUUGGCAGAGUGUUACUUAACGUUGACUUAAGAUAAGCUAAAAAGCAACGUUUAGUGCUUUGCAAAUGUAAAAAAGCAUUAAAAAUGCACUGAUUUUUGUUUUGUUGGAUUUCAAGAGAACCUUGAAUAUAUCACUGAAUUAAAUACUAAUAGGACACAUUUUAAAUUUUUAUUUUGGUUAAAUUCAUUGUUAUAUAAUCAGUUAAUAAAAAAAUAUCAUUGGAGUAAUCAAUAAAUUAGUCAAUAGAUUAGCUGACUAAUCAAAAAAGUAAUCGUUAUAUUAAUCGAUAAAAGAAUAAUUGUUAGGUGCAGCCCUAGUUAUAAACACAACACAGUAGCCCAGUGGUUAGAUCAGCAUCUGCAAGCUUAGAUGCAAUUGAUUGCUCACAUUAGCCACACUAUCAUAUCACUGUCACUCCACAGUGCAGGGGGUGUGGGGUUGUCAGGAGCUUGUUUGCUGCAAGGUUUUGCCCCCACUCAUUUGUUGACUGGCUGUCCUGGGUGCCACUUUUUUGCUAAGGUAAGACAUUAAAGUCAUUAGCCAGUCUUAACUGGCCUACAUGUAGUAUUUCACAACUCAUCAAACACAGUAUGGAUCUGUAUACCAACUCCUGACCCUAUUAAAAAUAAUGAUGGCAGUCAUGAAAACCAGACAUCAGAAACAUUUCUAAGAUGAGACAGAGAAAGGACACAUAUCAAACUGACUCAGAAAUGACAUUAUAACAUUAAAGUUAAUAGAUUCUUGACACUGGUUUGAAGAGCACGGAGAAUAACAGCAGGGAGUAUUGUUUCGACGAGGGGGUCCCAAAGUUCCUCAUCUUUUUACCGUGGAUGUUUACUGUGGAAAGUUUGUACUUCCUGUCUGUGUGCAGCUCACUCCUUUGUUAAACACUGACACGGUGGCAGUGGUGACAGGUGUUGGAAUAACUUUACAGAAAAAAGUCAAUUUCCUGGAGGUAUGGAGGCUUUUGCAGAUCAUAUGGAGGCGGUGGCUUUUAUCGUACAUCACAUAACUGAGGUCGCCUAUAUUGUAACCUGCUAAAAACUUGUCACUGAAUGUUUCCACACUCUUAGAAGCGUUUGCUUUGAUUGAUUGAGUAGCGUUACAUUAGUAUCCCACCCCGUCAUUAACACCACAGAACCAGGAACUCUGACAUGAGUGCUUUUCCAUCAUGACUGUAUGCAUCAUAUACACAAAAACUAAACACAGUCCCCAGCAUUAAUCCUUACACAAUGGGCCACACUCAAGAAAAACGUUAUUUUCCUCUAACUGCUCAUUCUUGUGGCUCAGUCAUGGUGAAUAUUGUAUUUAUUACUUUUUCAGCCUUCGUAUUUCUUCUCGUUCUUGUAUGACUGCUUUGUACAUGUUUCUUCUUUGUUAUAACUGUGACUAUGAGCUUAUGACAGCUGAAACCCUGGAAGACAGACUUCCCCUUUGACUCAGCUAUAUUGUGUGUUUGAACCAGUUAGCUAACAGCAGUGAGGUGUGAAACACUCUUAGUUGUCUGAGAAAUAACUCUUUAAUCUGCCUGUUUCCCUCAUACAAUCAUGUUUGUUCCCACUGAACAAUAAGCAGCCUAAAAUGGACAAGUGAGUCCAUGAGUUGUUAACACUUAAGUUUAUUUACAGUUUAUCAAUAAAUGAGUUUCCUAGUGUUGAAUAUUAAUUUGAAAAAUAAAUAAAUAAAUUAAUUAAAAAGACAGACAGAUGGGUCCGAUGUUGGCUCUUUUAUUUCAACUUCUUCAAGUUUUAAAACCAAAGAGAUUUCAAGAACUGUAAACAACUCUUUAGCUAGAACAAAAUGAAUCGAGAACAGCAUAAAGGCAAAUCAUGUGCUAAAGGUACAGUUUGUAGAAAUGGGAAUAAAUUGGGACAUCUAGCUUAGAGAUAAACUGAUUAAUCAGUCCGCUAAUUGGGCUGAUUUUUGGCAAUUUUGACACUGUCAGGUUCAUACCAGUAUCACAAGGCUGAUAUCACCGUUAUCUAUUCAAGUGUAAUAUGCAGCUGACAGCAUAUCCAAUCUAAAACAGUCCCAUCCAGUCUUUAUAUAAAAUCAUUAGGUACAGAAUUAAUGCAUUGUUUUAAUAAUGUUAUUAUUCACUGUGUAAUUUUUUUGUUCGUCUCUAAUUUUAGUUAGCUGGGAACACGUGAAAACUCUGUCUACAUUGAUUUAAUCAAACAUUCACUGGAGUUCAGCAAUGUAUUUCUUAUUUGUUAGUAUUAUUGCACUGCAAAAAAAAAAAAAAAAAAAACACAAUCUGAUAAAAACCUUAUACAUCUGCACUUGACUGACCUGCUAUCUUUGUAUUGGCCUCUUGAAAAACUGAUAUCAGUAGACCUGUGAUUUUCACCAAAGCGAUGAGUGAUAUUUUUUUUAUUGAUUCAACCUUGACAAAAUUGUCCUGACUUUUGGUUGACAGAAACUGGACCGAAACGAUAAAAAGCGAUGACAAUUUAAAAAAAAAACCUAAAAUUCAUUUUUUGUCCAGAGAAUUGGACUAAAUCUGAAAAAACUGCAGAAAUCACUGGGUGAAAGCAGUUUCCAACUGUUAACUGAGAGCAGCGAAAAAGCUGACACUGAAUUUGAACAAGUGAACAAUUCUGUCCGACAUCAGGCUGACAAGCAUUUUUAUCCAGGCUCACUUCACAUUUAAAACAUUUUUUUUUUUUUCCAUGUGCAAUAUUAUGCACAUAGUUUUUAAAAAAUGCCCCCUCAAAAUUUGAGACUGUAGGGGCAAAGGUUCCUUUCAGAAUAUAUACAUUAUAGUUCGCACUCUGAGAUACUUCACAUCGUAUCUUUAACCGAGUAUUCCUUUUUUUGCCGUAUGCUUUACCCAUCCUCAGCUUUAAACUGACCUUUUUCAAGACAAGAUAAAUAGAAAAUGUUUUGACAGAAACCAAACAACUCUGCAGCACUAUUCAAACACCGACUGUGUGCGUACUGUAGGUCUUCAAAGCCAUUUGAAGAUGAUACAGUGUUUUCACAUACCAUGCCCACACAUUUGAGCUGAGGGAAAAGUCGAUUCCACUUCACUCUCUUCAGAGGAAUAGCAAUUUGCUUACAUAAUACUGAGCUAUUCAGAUGUUCAAAAAAGAUAUCUACUUACUCUGCUUACACUGAAAUUUCACCCCUCUAAUAAAGCGCUUCAAAAGGGAGAGUAUCAGUCAUUAGACUAAUGAUAAACUAAAAAUAAUGAAAGACGUUUAAAGCUAUAAAACAGCCCUGUUUUUUUAAAUAAAUAUUCAAAAUAAUACUUUGGCUCAGCAGGGUGAGAAUGUUUUGUCAGAUCUUACUUGAGCCUGAAGCAAUGACUACUUUGUCCACAGGAGGCGCCAAAGUC